GACGAACGCGGCGGCGUGCCUAAUACAUGCAAGUCGAACGAACCGCGACUAGGUGCUUGCACUUGGUCAAGGUGAGUGGCGAACGGGUGAGUAACACGUGGGUAACCUACCUCAUAGUGGGGGAUAACAGUCGGAAACGACUGCUAAUACCGCAUAGGACAUGGGAUCACAUGAUUCUGUGAGGAAAGGUGGCGCAAGCUAUCGCUAAGAGAUGGACCCGCGGUGCAUUAGCUAGUUGGUAGGGUAAGGGCCUACCAAGGCGAUGAUGCAUAGCCGACCUGAGAGGGUGAUCGGCCACAUUGGGACUGAGACACGGCCCAAACUCCUACGGGAGGCAGCAGUAGGGAAUCUUCCGCAAUGGACGCAAGUCUGACGGAGCAACGCCGCGUGAGUGAAGAAGGUCUUCGGAUCGUAAAGCUCUGUUGUUAGAGAAGAACAGCGCAUAGAGUAACUGUUAUGCGUGUGACG
rnacentral:rRNA from 1 species